rnacentral:rRNA from 1 species
UACGAACUGUGCGAACGUUAUUCGGAAUCACUGGGUUUAAAGGGUGCGUAGGCGGCGCUGUAAGUCAGGUGUGAAAAUCCCCCGGCUCACCGGGGAACGUGCGCUUGAAACUAGCAGUGCUUGAGUGAGGUAGGGGUGGCAUGGAACUUCCGGUGGAGCGGUGAAAUGUGUAGAUAUCGGAAGGAACGCCGGCGGCGAAAGCGGUGCACUGGGCCGUUGUCUGACGCUGAGGCACGAAAGCUA